UACGGAGGAUCCAAGCGUUAUCCGGAAUCAUUGGGUUUAAAGGGUCCGUAGGCGGUUUAAUAAGUCAGUGGUGAAAUCUGGUCGCUCAACGAUCAAACGGCCAUUGAUACUGUUAGACUUGAAUUACUAGGAAGUAACUAGAAUAUGUAGUGUAGCGGUGAAAUGCUUAGAUAUUACAUGGAAUACCAAUUGCGAAGGCAGGUUACUACUAGUGGAUUGACGCUGAUGGACGAAAGCGUGGGGAGCGAACAGG
rnacentral:rRNA from 1 species